GACAAAAAAAAAACAAAAAAACAUUAUUAAAUAAUUCUAUUUACAGAAUUUAUAAAAAGAGACAUCGUCGCAGUAAUGGUGGAGGUGCCAACAACCAAUGGCAAAACGAAAAUCUACGUUGCAUCAGCAUACUUUCCGGGAGACAUAGGAGAAGUUCCUCCACCAGAAGUGGUAGAGUUUGUUGCAUACUGUAACAAACAAAAUAAAGCGUCUUGUACCGACUUUUCGAACCCUCUAAGCAGAAUAUCCUCUUCGAAUGAGUGUAAUCAGUUUCAUACCUUUUAAUUCCGCCCUAUGUUGCUUAUCCUUUGACAGAUACGCGUAUUUCGACUUGUAAUCUUCCUCAGUGUCAGUUAUCCACUGAAUGAAGUUCUAGGAAGUGUAGAAUUAGCAUAAGUUAAAAUACACAUAAAUACAAACAAAAAAAAAAAAAAAUGAAGUUCUAGUGGAUAACUGACACUGAGGAAGAUUACAAGUGGUAGUCGAAAUACGCGUAUCUCUCAAAGGAUAAGCAACAUAGGGCGGAAUUAAAAGGUACGAAACUGAUUACACUCAUUCGAAAAAAAAAAUAAAUAAAGCGUUUAUAAUUGGCUGCGAUGCAAAUGCCCAUCACACGGUAUGAGCAAGCACGGGCAUCAAUAGCAGAGGUGAGUACCUUUUAGAUUAUAUAUCUAUAACAAUGAAAUAGACAUAUGUAAUAGGGGAGAAGCACCAACAUUUAUAAAAGCAAUAAGGCAGGAAGUACUUGAUUUAACAUUGUGUAGUCCGAAAAUUAUCGAAAAAAUAAAAAAUUGGCAUGUAUCUGAUGAAGCAUCAUUAUCGGAUCAUAUGCAAAUCUUAUUCAAGUAUGAGGCUGGUCAACAACUCACACAAACUAUAAGAGAUCCCAGAAAAACAAACUGGGAGCCUUACAAUUCAGAGCUGAGAGCUGGAGUAAACACAUUACAAACAUCCUCAAAAUCAUGCACAGAACUUGAAGAAAGUUCAAAACAAAUAUCAAAUUUGAUUUUGAAUGCAUUUAAUAAAAGUUGCACUGCUAAAGAACGCUCAACAAACAGAGAUGUUCCAUGGUGGUAUAACCGAUUAGCCAAACUUCGAAAGAAAAUCCGGAAAAUGUUUAACUGGGCUAAACGAACUCAACAGUGGGGCCCAUAUAAGGAAUCCCUUACUAAUUAUAAUAAAGAAAUAAGAAGAUCAAAAAGGAUUAACUGGAGGCAUACAUGUGAAAGCAUUGAAAAUACUCCAGAAACCGCCAGGUUGCAAAAAAUCCUUGCAAAGGAUCAUUCUAACGGGUUGAGAACACUGAAAAAAAUGGGACUUUUAAAAAUUCUGCAAAUGAAACGUUAGAGUUGAUGAUGAAAACACAUUUUCCCUGUUCAGUAAUCAAUUCAACUGAAGACCAAAGUUCAGCUGUAACAGAAACUGGCGUUAUUGAAACCAGGACGUAUGAUCAUGAAAUACUGAGCGGAACGACUGGAUCAAAUAGAGACAGGAUCGAUAGUUGCACUUUGGCCAAACAAAUAUUUACUGAAAAGAAAGUUGAAUGGGCGAUUGACUCCUUUGCACCCUUCAAAUCACCUGGUAGGGAAUUCUUCCUGUACUACUGCAAAAGGGAAAGGCGAUUUUAACACCUAUUUUAACUAAACUUUUCCAAGCCAGCUUAUCUUUAAGUUAUAUUCCAGUAGGGUGGCGACAAGUACGGGUGAUUUUAAUCCCCAAGGCCAAAAAAAGGAUAAAACACUGCCAAAAUCCUUUAGGCCAAUAAGCUUAUCGUCUGUACUACUAAAAACUAUGGAAAAAAUAAUUGAUGAGCACAUAAAACCAUCAUAUCUUAUUGAAACUCCUCUCAACAAACACCAGUUUGCCUACCAAGAGGGUAAAUCAUCAGUAACAGCAUUACAUAAGCUUGUUACAAAACUUGAAAAAUCUCUCAAUGCCAAAGAAAUUGCUCUUUCUGCUUUUCUUGACAUUGAGGGAGCUUUUGAUAAUUCAUCUCAUAAUUCAAUAGCAACGGCCAUGAUGAAACGAGGUUUCAAUAAAUGUGUUGUCAGCAAACCUUGGAAGCUCCUCUAUAUCUGUUAGAGCAGUGAAAGGGUGCCCACAGGGAGGCGUCUUAUCACCUCUUCUGUGGUCUUUGAUAGUUGAUGAUCUUCUGAAAAACUUAGAAUCACAGGGAUUUGAAAUAUGGUUUCGCAGACGAUAUAGUCAGAAUAGUGCGUGGGAAAUAUGACCAAAUCAUCCCAAACAGAAUGCAAACUGCUCUAAAUUGUAUCUCAUCGUGGUGUGAUAGGGAAGGAUGAAAUGUAAAUCCUUCAAAAACUACUAUUGUACCAUUUACAAAGAGUAGAAAACUUUCUAUAAAUAAUUUAUACCUGAAAGGCAUAUCUAUAGAUCUUUCAAAUACAGUCAAGUACCUCGGAGUAGUCCUUGACAGCAAACUGAAUUGGAAUUCACACCUAGAGUAGAUAAUCACAAAAGCGACAAAUGCUCUUUGGACAUUUGGUAAGCAGUGGGGAUUGAAAAUGAUUUAUUGGAUCUUUUCGGCAAUCGUGAGACCCAGGAUUACCUAUGCCUCACUGGUCUGGUGGCAGAAAACCACAGAAUCCGUCGCUCAGAGAAAACUAGGAAGAUUACAAAGACUAGCGACUCUCUCAUUAACUGGAGCAUUGAGAAGCACUCCUUCAUUGGCAUUGGAUGCUUUAUUACACAUGCUUCCAUUACAUCAAUUGAUACAAUUUGAAGCUGAAAAUAGCGCUCUAAGAAUCAAAAGAUCUACGAACCUCUUGGAAGGCGACCUUAAUGGGCAUCUUAGUAUUCUAAAAACUUUUGGCAUAAACUCCAUAGUUAUGAACAACGAAGACUGGAUGGAGAAAAAGUACAAUUUUGACCGUAUGUUUAAAGUUUAUGAUCCUGAUCGAAGUUCGUGGCGAGUCGGUGGUCCAGAAUUUCGACCAGGAUCGAUUAUUUUUUAUACAGACGGUUCAAAAUUGAACAACAAAGUGGGAGCAGGAGUAACUGGCCCAGGGAUAAACCUGUCGAUACCCAUGGGAAAGUAUCCAACUGUAUUCCAGGCAGAAAUCCAAGCAAUAUUAGAAUGCUCUAAUAUAUGUUUGCAAAGAAAUUAUAGGCAUUCCAAUAUAAAGCCUGUAUCCGCAAUUAUCGGGACACAGAAAUACGGUUGUAACUCUGCCAUGAAUCAAUAAAAUUAACCAAAAAAUUGACUGAAUACUGUUUGGUGUCUGUUUAUUAUUUGUGCCAAAUUUCAUAAAAAUCGGUGCAUUACUUUUAGCUGUAGCUCAAAAAUAAAACGACAUGCGUUUAAGAAUUUUGUACAGUCACGACCAAUUUUCAUCUGCAUGAAAAAUGGUUAUUUUACGCUGCAGACCAAUGUACAGCAAUGAUAAUAACGAAAUUUCGUAGACAGUUGUGAUACACAUAAAAGCACUUUCAUACAAAAUUUCGUCAACUUUGAUCACCUGGUUUGAAAGCUACCAGCGUUGAUGGGGGUGAGUGUUAGUGAAAAUGUUUCGUGUUUUUCAUAUGAGAUGUUAGCCUAUUCAUAGCUUUUAAAUGUCUCGGCCAAUUUCCAUGCAAUUUUCACAGAAGAUAGUUGUUUAUGUAUAUAUUAUGCCUGCAAAAUUUCAUGAUUUUUGGUAUUGUACUUUCAACAGUAUAAUCAGAACAAUAAGGUGUGCUCACUGAUUUCUGUCGAAAGGGCUAAAAUCAGGGUUAGUCACAAUAAAUGUUUUGACUAUAGAAUUUUUUAUAGUGCAUCGAUUUUAAUGAAAUUUUGCCCAUGCAAGAAACGUAUGUUGAGAGGUUUAUGUUCGAAAUUUCUGCCAUAUCCUUUGCCAUUAUCAAAAGUUACAGCGCUUAUAAGCUAAUCUAGGUGCUGUACAAAAUUCAUUCGCCCACGUUCUACUGUUUCAUUGCUACAUCAAAAAGUACUGCACCGAUUUACAUGAAAUUUUGCAGGUGAAAUCAACACAUCUUAAGAUGUUCCCGGGUCAAAUUUUAACAAUUUCAAUGUAUCCAUUGAAGAAUUGUUGCUGUAUUUCUGUGUCCCGAUUCUUGCAGAUACAGGCUUUAUGCAUAUUGUCUGACAGCCAAGCAGCACUAAAUGCUUUGAAGUCAGCGGUAUGUACAUCAAAACAUGUUUGGGAGUGCAUUAAAUCACUGCAAGAUCUGCCCUGUCGUAAUCAGAUCAACUUAUAUUGGGUUCCUGGCCAUUGUGGAAUUGAUGGAAAUGAAAGAGCCGAUGAAUUAGCAAGGCUUGGAUAAUCUCUUCAGUUCAUAGGGCCCGAACCUUUUUGUGGGCUAUCUGCCUGUGCUUUGCGAAUGGAGUUCAAAAUAAGAGAACAUUCGAAAGUGACGAACAAUUGGAAAAA